rnacentral:rRNA from 1 species
AUGAACGCUGGCGGCGUGCCUAAUACAUGCAAGUCGAGCGAACAGACGAGGAGCUUGCUCCUCUGACGUUAGCGGCGGACGGGUGAGUAACACGUGGAUAACCUACCUAUAAGACUGGGAUAACUUCGGGAAACCGGAGCUAAUACCGGAUAAUAUAUUGAACCGCAUGGUUCAAUAGUGAAAGACGGUUUUGCUGUCACUUAUAGAUGGAUCCGCGCCGCAUUAGCUAGUUGGUAAGGUAACGGCUUACCAAGGCAACGAUGCGUAGCCGACCUGAGAGGGUGAUCGGCCACACUGGAACUGAGACACGGUCCAGACUCCGACGGGAGGCAGCAGUAGGGAAUCUUCCGCAAUGGGCGAAAGCUUGACGGAGCAACGCCGCGUGAGUGAUGAAGGUCUUCGGAUCGUAAAACGCUGUUAUUAGGGAAGAACAAAUGUGUAAGUAACUAUGCACGUCUUGACGGUACCUAAUCAGAAAGCCACGGCUAACUACGU